CUGCGGAGGGAUCAUUACCGAGUUUACAACUCCCAAACCCAAUGUGAACGUUACCAAACUGUUGCCUCGGCGGGAUCUCUGCCCCGGGUGCGUCGCAGCCCCGGACCAAGGCGCCCGCCGGAGGACCAACCAAAACUCUUAUUGUAUACCCCCUCGCGGGUUUUUUUAUAAUAUGAGCCUUCUCGGCGCCUAUCGUAGGCGUUUCGAAAAUGAAUCAAAACUUUCAACAACGGAUCUCUUGGUUCUGGCAUCGAUGAAGAACGCAGCGAAAUGCGAUAAGUAAUGUGAAUUGCAGAAUUCAGUGAAUCAUCGAAUACUUUGAACGCACAUUGCGCCCGCCAGUAUUACUGGCGGGCAUGCCUGUCCGAGCGUCAUUUCAACCCUCGAACCCCCCCGGGGGGUCGGCGUUGGGGAUCGGCCCUGCCUUGGCGGUGGCCGGAUCCGAAAUACAGUGGCGGAGACGCCGCAGCCGAUCCUGCGCAGGAGUUUGCACACGAGCAUCGGGAGCGCGGCGCGUCCACAGCCGUGACACACCCAACUGAUGAAAUGUGACCUAGGAUCAGGGAGGAUACCCGCA
rnacentral:rRNA from 1 species